GACGAACGCUGGCGGCGUGCCUAAUACAUGCAAGUCGAACGCAGUGGGGACGGGUGAGUAACACGUGGGUAACCUCCCAUCAGAGGGGAUAACACUUGGCAACAGGUGCUAAACCGAUACUGAUGGAUGAACCCGCGGUGCAUUAGCUAGUUGGUGAGGUAACGGCUCACAAAGGCCACGAUGCAUAGCCGACCUGAGAGGGUGAUCGCCCUCACUGGGACUGAGACACGGCCCAGACUCCUACGGGAGGCAGCAGUAGGGAAGCUUCGGCAAUGUACGAAAGUCUGACCGAGAAACGCCGCGUUAGUGAAGAAGGUUUUCGGAGCGUAAAUCUCUGUUGUUAGAGAAGCGGUAUCUAACCAGAAGGCCACGGCUAACUACGUGCCAGCAGCCGCGGUAAUUC
rnacentral:rRNA from 1 species